CCCUUAGAUGUUCUGGGCCGCACGCGUGCUACACUGGUGAAUACAGCGAGUGUCCAUUCCCUUGACCGAAAGGUCUGGGUAAUCUUAUGAAAGUCCAUCGUGACAGGGAUUGAUCAUUGCAAUUAUUGAUCAUGAACGAGGAAUUCCUAGUAAAGGCGAGUCAUCAUCUCGCUUUGAUUACGUCCCUGCCCUUUGUACACACCGCCCGUCGCUACUACCGAUUGAAUGGUUUAGUGAGAUCUCCGGAUUGGCGGCCUUGGUACCUUCACGGGUCCAACGGUUCUGCCGAGAAGCUGCUCGAACUUGAUCAUUUAGAGGAAGUAAAAGUCGUAACA
rnacentral:rRNA from 1 species